UGAGAACCUCCGGGGGUAAGAGGUUCGACUCGAGCGAAGCGAGAGAACGUUGCGCCAGCAACGGCCCGCAGGGCGAGCCACGCAGUGGCGAGUCAUCCUCUAUCACCGGCAG
rnacentral:sRNA from 1 species